UGGGGAAUAUUGCACAAUGGGGGAAACCCUGACCCAGCAACGCCGCGUGAAGGAAGAAGGCUUUCGGGUUGUAAACUUCUUUUACCAGGGACGAAGGACGUGACGGUACCUGAGUAAGAAGCUCCGGCUAAAUACGUGCCAGCAGCCGCGGUAAUACGUAUGGAGCAAGCGUUAUCCGGAUUUACUGGGUGUAAAGGGAGUGUAGGCGGCUUUGCAAGUCAGAUGUGAAAGCCCGGGGCUCAACCCCGGGACUGCAUUUGAAACUGUGAAGCUGGAGUGUCGGAGAGGUAAGUGGAAUUCCUAGUGUAGCGGUGAAAUGCGUAGAUAUUAGGAAGAACACCAGUGGCGAAGGCGGCUUACUGGACGAUUACUGACGCUGAGGCUCGAAAGCGUGGGGAGCAAACAGGAUUAGAUACCCUGGUAGU
rnacentral:rRNA from 1 species